UUUCCUCUUCACCUCGCCGGAACUCCGACGAUCUCCUCCCAACUCCGAUCAUUGGAACCCUAAAGAAACCUCGAAAUUCGUGCCAAAAUUUGCACAACAUGGGGAAUAAGAUCGCGAAAACAACGCAAGCAUCAGCGAUGGAGUAUUACCUACACGGAUGGAGUAUUACCUCCACGACUUACCGUCAUCGUAUAAUUUAGUACUGAAAGAAGUACUAGGUCGAGGUCGAUUUUUGAAAUCGAUUUUGUGUAAACAUGAUGAAGGACUUGUACUUGUUAAGGUGUAUUUCAAGAGAGGAGAUUUCAUUGAUUUACGUGA
rnacentral:lncRNA from 1 species